rnacentral:tRNA from 1 species
GCCAACGUAGCUCAGCUGGUAGAGCAAUUCAUUCGUAAUGAAUAGGUCGGGAGUUCGAUUCUCCCCGUUGGCU